rnacentral:rRNA from 1 species
CCUACGGGAGGCUGCAGUGGGGAAUAUUGCACAAUGGGGGAAACCCUGAUGCAGCAACGCCGCGUGAGCGAUGAAGGCCUUCGGGUCGUAAAGCUCUGUCCUAAGGGAAGAAUACUGACGGUACCUUAGGAGGAAGCCCCGGCUAACUACGUGCCAGCAGCCGCGGUAAUACGUAGGGGGGUAGCGUUAUCCGGGAUUACUGGGCGUAAAGGGUGCGUAGGCGGCCCUUCAAGUCAGAGGUGAAAGGCUAUGAGCUAACCGUAGGAGGCCUUUGAAAAUUUAGCGGUUGAGUGCAGGAGAGGCGGGUGGAAUUCCCAGUGUAGCGGUGAAAUGCGUAGAUAUUGGGAGGAACACCAGUUGGGAAGGCGGCUCUCUGGACUGUAACUGACGCUGAGGCACGAAAGCGUGGGGAGCGAACAGGAUUAGAUACCCUAGUAGUC